rnacentral:rRNA from 1 species
GACGAACGCUGGCGGCGUGCUUAACACAUGCAAGUCGAACGGAAAGGCCCUGCUUUUGUGGGGUGCUCGAGUGGCGAACGGGUGAGUAACACGUGAGUAACCUGCCCUUGACUUUGGGAUAACUUCAGGAAACUGGGGCUAAUACCGGAUAGGAGCUCCUGCUGCAUGGUGGGGGUUGGAAAGUUUCGGCGGUUGGGGAUGGACUCGCGGCUUAUCAGCUUGUUGGUGGGGUAGUGGCUUACCAAGGCUUGGACAGGUAGCCGGCCUGAGCGGGUGACCGGCCACAUUGGGACUGAGAUAGGGCCCAGACUCCAACGGGAGGCAGCAGUGGGGAAUAUUGCACAAUGGGCGGAAGCCUGAUGCAGAAACGCCGCGUGCGGGAUGACGGCCUUCGGGUUGUAAACCGCUUUCGCCUGUGACGAAGCGUGAGUGACGGUAAUGGAUAAAGAAGCACCGGCUAACUACGUG